rnacentral:rRNA from 1 species
UACAGAGGUCUCAAGCGUUGUUCGGAUUCAUUGGGCGUAAAGGGUGUGUAGGUGGCGCCGUAAGUCGGGUGUGAAAUCUCGGGGCUUAACUCCGAAACUGCAUUCGAUACUGCGGUGCUUGAGGACUGGAGAGGAGACUGGAAUUCAUGGUGUAGCAGUGAAAUGCGUAGAGAUCAUGAGGAAGACCAGUGGCGAAGGCGGGUCUCUGGACAGUUCCUGGCACUGAGACACGAAGGCCAGGGGAGCAAACGGG